AUAAGAGGAAUCAAGGUCGAUCCUACUAAAAAAAAAGAAAAAGAAAGAAAGAAAAGAAAAGAAAAGGAAAAAGCAAUGCAAGAAAGGCCUGAACCGAAAAAAAAAAGCAAACGGAAAAGAGCAAACGGUCAGGUGGAUAAUAAUUGCCAAGGGGCAUUGAAAGAUAAAAGAAUAAGUUGCAGGAACCUCUAAUUCGGAUGCCUCCUGUGGAAGGAACAAC
rnacentral:lncRNA from 1 species